rnacentral:tRNA from 1 species
GCUAAUGUAGCAAAACCCGGCCCCUGCUAAAGACCUAAGCUCUUUUCAUAGAAGUUCAAAUCUUCUCAUCAGCU